rnacentral:rRNA from 1 species
UACGAACCGUGCGAACGUUGUUCGGAAUCACUGGGCUUAAAGGGCGCGUAGGCGGCCGCUCCAGUCUCGGGUGAAAGCCCCCGGCUCAACCGGGGAAGGGCCCGGGAUACUGAGCGGCUCGAGGGGGGUAGGGGCGGACGGAACUUCCGGUGGAGCGGUGAAAUGCGUUGAUAUCGGAAGGAACGCCGGUGGCGAAAGCGGUCCGCUGGGCCACUUCUGACGCUGAGGCGCGAAAGCCAGGGGAGCAAACGGG